GUGAGGUUGGCCCAUUUCUCAUUCUCCUCUUUCUUUUGUCUGGGCCAUCUCUUGGGCCCAUAACCGAGCCCAUUCCCAAACCUUAGCCCACUCCCCUCUGAUAUACCCUACCCCUCCCCGCCUCUCUCUCUCUCACUCCACUCAGCGCCGCUCCACUAACCCUAAUCCUCUCCUCUCUCUUUCUGACUCUUCGUUUUCUCCACUUUCCCACCGCCCUCCUACCUUGGUUACUCCACCGCCUUCAAUGGCGUCUCACCC
rnacentral:lncRNA from 1 species